rnacentral:rRNA from 1 species
GGGCCCGCACAAGCGGUGGAGCAUGUGGUUUAAUUCGAUGAUACGCGAGGAACCUUACCAGGGCUUAAAUGUAGUCUGACAGGGGUGGAAACACCCCCUCCUUCGGGCAGAUUACAAGGUGCUGCAUGGUUGUCGUCAGCUCGUGCCGUGAGUGUCAGGUUAAGUCCUAUAACGAGCGCAACCCCUGCCGUUAGUUGCCAGCAUGUAAUGAUGGGAACUCUAACGGUACUGCCGGUGCAAAACCGCGAGGAAGGUGGGGGAUGACGUCAAAUCAUCACGGCCCUUACGGUCCCUGGGCUACACACGUGCUACAAUGGCCGGUACAGAGGGGCAGCCACACCGCAAGGUGGAG